GUGACGGGAGCCGCGGGAACGUGCGGUGGGUUCCAGGAACAAGUGUGGGAAAUGGUAUCAAAGGCUAGGCUUCCUUGGAAUGUCCGCAAACACACUCCGUGAAAGUUUUGAAGAUGAAAGGCAGAUCAAACAGAAACUGCAGCUGCUAACUUUACUGCGACCUUAUUUCUGACAUAAAAUGCCCUCAGCGUAUUCUCACGUAUGGACCAAACUGCCUUCGUUAAAGGUGCGGGUCAUGGCAGCCCCGCGCCUGCGCAGAGCAGACGCGGCGCAGCUCAGCAGCCGAUCUGCUCUGUGACGACACAGAGACUGCUACGCCACCGCCGCCCGGCUCCUCAGGGACUGCCUGGUCCCCGCCCGCAGUGAGGGAGGCGGGCUGCCGGUCAGAGGGCGGAGGCCUAGCGAGGUGGAAGUCUCCGGCGACUGCUGUUCACGCCUCUAGGGGGCCGGGAGGGAACAUCUACGCCGGAAGUGGUAGCGUGGCCGAGCGGUCUAAGGCGCUGGAUUAAGGCUCCAGUCUCUUCGGGGGCGUGGGUUCGAAUCCCACCGCUGCCAGGGCUUCUUUUUCUUUCUUCACGCUCAGUGUGGACCGUUCCCACAUCCUGAGUCAGGCCCCUUUUUCUCCUCCUUUGACUCGUGUUUACUCCGGAUACAGCCGCGGCCCGGCCAGGAGGUGCUUUUGUUCUCGCGGUCCUCCGUACGAACGAAGGACCGUACGACAGACUCCGGCAUCCCUUUGUACCUCGAGGCACAUCCUCCGACGCCUGUGAAGGAAUAAGAGGUGUCCAGAAUGGCCCCGGAUCUUCCUGAGGCCCCGGCAGCGGCCUGUCUCGUGUCUGGAACCCUGUGCAGAUCCGACAAAAGACCCCCCGCGGAGGGGGUACUGGUCCCAUGACUGCGGACACACCCGCCAGCGACAGGUGUGUCCCAGCGCCGGGGUUUUCUAAGUGGACUUCCUCCAGGAGGGUGAGGAUGGAUGACACAGCACUAAGAACAUACUAGAACCAGCUGUCACACGGCACACGGCUGGUGACUGGAGCUUCCCCGUCACUCACCUGGGAAGGAGCAGGUCAGGAACCCCCAGUCCUGCAGGUCCUCAGCGCAGGGCACGGCCCCUUGCUCCAGAUGGGAGAUGAGGGGUGGCUUAGGGCAGGCAAGGCCUGCUCGUGGAGAAGGGAAGUCAGUGUGCAUAGCAGAUCACCUCUGUCCCAACACCCGGCCUUGACCCUUCUGCUCACACUGCAGAGGAGAGUGUCAGCAGGGGGGAGAAAAGGGUGUACUUGGGGGGGUCUGCCAAGGUGUAAGCAAGCACCUAGGGAUGACCUCAGAAAGGUCACGCUCAGAAGGGCAGAGGAGGAGACCCCAGGAAGCAGUCACUUGGUUGUAUUUUCCCCGUUGUGGCUGCGAGGCAAGAGUGAGGGCUCUGACUUUCACUGGGAGGCCUGGAGACGUCAAUAGACAGCAAGUAAAGAGUAAGGACAGGAAAAAGGACUAAGCCAAGCACGGGGUGUCCUCACCAGCCGACAGCAUGUUGCCAUAGUUCUCCAGCAUCACGUCAGUGUACAGGUGCCUCUGGGCGCGGGUCAGACACUGCCACUCUCCGCUACUGAAGCACACGGCCACAUCCUCAAACGUCACCGCGUCCUGCAAGGAUAUGCUCCCGCUGACCCGGAGGAAACCCCAGUCCCCAGGAAACAGACGCAGAAGAAGGGAUUCUCAGGAGGUUUCUAGAAAUGAAAGGAAGGAUGGAGGGGCCUCAGCUUGCCUGGGCCCCACUCACCGGUGUGGUGUUUGCUCCUGGCCGGUCUCCGUGGCUUCCGUCAUUGGCAAAGGCAGGAUGCUGAGGAGCCCGCAGGGCUGAGGGAAGAGAAAUGGGUCAACCUGGCACGAUCACUCACUCUGAGGGAGGCCAGCUGUCACAUUGUGAGGAGCGGCCCACGUGGUGAGGAAAUGAAACCCCCGCCAACAGCCAUUUGAAUGAGUUUAGAAGUGCAUCCUCCAGCCCCCGGUCUAGCCAUCAGAUGACUACAGCCCAGGUCACAGACUCAAAGCCAACAGCUGAGCUGCUCUCAGAUUCCUGAUCUGCAGAAACUG